GCAAAAGGCUUCCUUGUUUUCUUUUUAGCUUUCUUUUCCCAUUUUUUCUUGCUAUCAAAACCUCACUUUUUCAUUUUUCUUUUGCCCUUCUUUUUAAAAUGUGGGGAUCAUGAGCUCUGGCUCAGGAUCUCCAUCCUCCUCUCCUCCCACCCCACCUUCCCCUUUACCUAUCAGUGUAGGCCCCAACCAUGAGAAGUACAUUUUCUCGUCCUCGCCCUCGCCUUCGCCACCCUUCUCACCAACUUCUGGCCCUCUCUCAUCAGAAUCCGAUUCCCGCGUACCGGAAUCUCUUGCCCUUCUUCCCCGUGGAUCCUUAGCGCAACCGCCACAGUCUUCUACUUUUUCUUUGGACAGAUUGACAGAUUCCUCCACUGCACCAAACUCUUGUUUUUGGAACUGCUUGGAGUGGAUUUUGACUAGAUGCUGCUGUCGCUUGUGUUUUGAAAUUUUCCCUCACAAUGAGAAAGUAGAAUGAAGAUUGCCCCAAAUAUGAUGGGAUGGGCAAUUGAUGUUCGAUUGGACAUUGUCCCAUACAAUUGUGAUGCAGUGGAGAAGGAGAGAGAGCGCAUGGAGGUCCUCAGAGAGGGGUAGAGAGAUUCGAUAUUUUACGUUAUAACCUGGAAUCAAGGGCAUACGAUAUGCAUUACAUAUCGAUUUUUUUUAAUUAAUAAUUUUAUAAAGGUUAAUGGUACUGUAAUGGGCAUAUAUUAUGUAUUCUUACAUGUUAUACACUUACUCCCUAGCAGGGGUGGCAAGGGAGUGCCAAGGGGCCUCGGCAAUAGUAUUGCCAAGCCCUAUGAUGAAGUCUUUGAUUCUAUUCUGACCAAAGUGUAGGGGCUCAAAUCCCUAUUGAUUUACCACUUUAUGAAUAGCAUGGGGUUUUGGCGAUAGUGUUGCUGAGCCCCAUGAUGACAUCUUUCUAACUCCAUUCUCACCACUUUGAAAAUGGCAUGGGGCUUUGGUGGUAGUAUUGAUGAGCCCCACCAAAGGGUAAGGGCCCAAAUCCCCACUGACUUUAAUACUCUUACGGCCUAGGCUGAAUUCCUAUCAAGGUAGGGACCCUCUCCCCGCUGAUUCACCCAAAAAAAGAAAAUAGUGGCAAUGGACCUAGACCCGACCCGAUACACGAUUCGGGUCCAGAUAUGGGUUCAAAAAUUGGACCCAGUAAGUCGGGUCCACGUCCAAAUCUUGAACCCGGACAUUAUUCAAGUCCAGAUCCGGGUAAUAUUU